GAAGGACCCCUAACUCUGAUUUUAUAAUGUUUUUCUGAGUAAACAAGCAAAUAAAUUAAAACUUUCAACAACGGAUCUCUUGGCUCUGGCAUCGAUGAAGAACGCAGCGAAAUGCGAUAAGUAAUGUGAAUUGCAGAAUUCAGUGAAUCAUCGAAUCUUUGAACGCACAUUGCGCCCGCCAGUAUUCUGGCGGGCAUGCCUGUUCGAGCGUCAUUACAACCCUCAGGCCCCCGGGCCUGGCGUUGGGGAUCGGCGGAAGCCCCCUGUGGGCACACGCCGUCCCUCAAAUACAGUGGCGGUCCCGCCGCAGCUUCCAUUGCGUAGUAGCUAACACCUCGCAACUGGAGAGCGGCGCGGCCAUGCCGUAAAACACCCAACUUCUGAAUGUUGACCUCGAAUCAAAAAAGGAAAAGAAGAGGAAAAAAAAGAAAAGGGGAGAANGAAGGAGAGGAAANGAAAGGANGGAGAAAGAAGAAGNGAAGAAGAAGGAGGAGAAAGAAAGAGAGAGAGAGAAGAAGGGGGAGNGNAAAAGAGAGGAGAAGAAAANAGAGAGAG
rnacentral:misc_RNA from 1 species